UGUUCCCAUUAACCAGUGUCUCACAUCUGGUUCUGCAUUUUUUGCCUACUCCUUGCAGAACUCAGCCAGUUGAGAUACAUUUGUGGGACAACUGGCAUGUACUGCCCACUUCAGAUCUAGCCAAAACAAUUCUAGUGAAUUAUCUGAACUUUGACUAGGCCAAUUCAGAAUAUGAAUUGUCUUUAUCUUAAGCCAUUCCUUGGUAAUUUUGCUUGAAUGGUUGUAGGGUCAUUAUCCUGUUGUAAAAUCUAUUUCCUCCCUAGCUUCAUCUCCGUGGCUGACAUGAGGUUCAGAUCAAGAAUUUGCUGAUAGACCUGAGAAUUCAUGGUUUCCUGGAUGAUAUGAUAUUGUCCAGGCAUAACAACAAAUCCACAUUUCCACCACCAUGCUUCACGCUUCAUGCUGUUGAGAGUGGGGGUCUUUUCUUAAAGUGUUAGCUUUCCUCUAAACAUGAUGAUUUGGAUUGUGACAGAUAAUUCUAUUUUGGAUACACCUGUCCAGAGAAUAGACUUCCACAAGGGCUCUGAAAGUUGAAUCGGGAGAGCAGAGCCAGAGGCUUCCUUCUAGCAACCCUCUCAUGAAAGUCGUGUCUGUUCCAGUUUCGUCUAAUUGUAGAUGCAUGUAAAUUUAUUCCAGAUGCUGCCAUCAAGGUCUGUAACUCUUCAGAGGUGAUGUGUGGGUUGGUUUUUAUCCAAUUUAUUAUCUUUCUGAUGCAUCUUGGUCAUACUUUUGAUGCAUCCACUUCUAGGAAAUGUUGCUGUGAUGCUGAAUGCCCUCAAUUUGCAAAUAAUUUGUCUUAAAUGGAGUUUGUGGAUACUGUACUGAUUCCAGUUUCAUUUACUACGGUCUUUUAGAGAGGGUCUUGCAGCUUUCCCCAGACUGAUGGGCUGUCACUACUUUCUUCUUUAUGUUCUCGGAUUAUACCUUUCUUCUUGUCAUUGUUGAUCCCUGUGGGUAUGUCUUGGCACUACAGUGGAAGUCUGUUUGAUAAGUAGGCAUUCUUAUUUAAAAACUGAUGAUGAUAAAAUAAGAAAAUCCUGAUAAAACGACAUAAAACUCCAAACUGUUCAAUGGGUUCGCGUACUUUCAAGCAGCACUGUAUUGAUCUUUAGCUUUUGAACUAACUGUUAUGUGAAAUAGAGCUGCAUUCGCAUUCUUUAUGUACAAAUGCUUGUCUUUAAAAAGAAAAAUACAUUAUUACAUCAA